rnacentral:rRNA from 1 species
UAGGGAAUCUUCCGCAAUGGACGCAAGUCUGACGGAGCAACGCCGCGUGAGUGAAGAAGGAUUUCGGUUCGUAAAACUCUGUUGUUAGAGAAGAACAGCGCAUAGAGUAACUGUUAUGCGUGUGACGGUAUCUAACCAGAAAGCUACGGCUAACCACGUGCCAGCAGCCGCGGUAAUACGUAGGUGGCAAGCGUUGUCCGGAUUUAUUGGGCGUAAAGCGAGCGCAGGCGGUCAAUUAAGUCUGAUGUGAAAGCCCCCGGAUCAACCGGGGAGGGUCAUUGGAAACUGGUUGACUUGCGUGCAGAAGAGGAGCGUGGAAUUCCAUGUGUAGCGGUGAAAUGCGUAGCUACAUGGAGGAACACCAGUGGCGAAGGCGACUCUAUGGUCUGUAACUGACGCUGAGGCUCGAAAGCGUGGGUAGCAAACAGG